GGGGUUGUGGCUUAGUGGUAGAGCGCUUGCCUAGCAUGUGUGAGGCACUGGGUUCAAUUCUCAGCACCG
rnacentral:tRNA from 1 species